rnacentral:lncRNA from 1 species
GUCGACUUGAUGGAUUGAAGAGCCAUGGGUUGGGUUGGAAGGAACCUCAUAGAUCAUAGAGUGGUUGUGUUGGAAGGGACCUCAUAGAUCAUAGAGUUGUAGAGUGGUUGGGUUGGAAGGGACUGUGUGGGUCACAGAGCUGUAGUGUGGUUGGGUUGGGUGGGAUUGGAAGAGUCCUUAUGGAUCCCAGAGCCACCAAAUGGUUGGGUUGGAAAGGGUCUUAAUUGAUCACGGAGGCAUAGAAUGGUUGGGUUGGGUUGGAAGGGGCCUCACAGAUCAUAGAGUCAUAGAGUGGUUGGGUUGGAAAAGACUUUGUAGAUCACAGAGCUGUAGAGUGGUUGGGUUGGAAGGGAUCUUAUCGGUCAUGGAGCCAUGGAAUGGUUGGGUUGGGUUGGAAGGGACCUCAUAGAUCAUAGAGUGGUUGGGUUGGAAGGGACCUCAUAGGUCAUAGGGACGUAAAAUGGUUGGGUUGAGUGGGAAGGGGUCUUAUAGGUCUACCUUACGGAUUGCAGAGCCAUGGGUUGGGUUGGAAGGGACCUCAUAGAUCACAGAGCUGUAGAGUGGUUGGGUUGGAAGGGAUCUUAUCGGUCAUGGAGCCAUGGAAUGGUUGGGUUGAGUUGGAAGGGACCUCAUAGAUCAUAGAGUGGUUGUGUUGGAAGGGACCUCGUAGAUCAUAGAGUUGUAGAGUGAUUGGGUUGGAAGGGACUGUGUGGGUCACAGAGCUGUAGUGUGGUUGGGUUGGGUGGGAUUGGAAGAGUCCUUAUGGAUCACAGAGCCACCAAAUGGUUGGGUUGGAAAGGAUCUUAAUUGAUCACGGAGGCAUAGAAUGGUUGGGUUGGGUUGGAAGGGGCCUCACAGAUCAUAGAGUCAUAGAGUGGUUGGGUUGGAAGGGACUGUGUGGGUCACAGAGCUGUAGAGUGGUUGGGUUGGAAGGGAUCUUAUCGGUCAUGGAGCCAUGGAAUGGUUGGGUUGGGUUGGAAGGGACCUCAUAGGUCAUAGGGACGUAAAAUGGUUGGGUUGAGUGGGAAGGGGUCUUAUAGGUCGACCUUACGGAUUGCAGAGCCAUG